GCAGCCGCGGUAAUACGGGGGAUGCAAGCGUUAUCCGGAUUUAUUGGGUUUAAAGGGUGCGUAGGCGGUCCGGUAAGUCAGCGGUGAAAUUUCCGAGCUCAACUUGGAACGUGCCGUUGAUACUGUCGGACUAGAAUGCGGAUGCCGUGGGAGGAAUGUGUGGUGUAGCGGUGAAAUGCAUAGAUAUCACACAGAACACCGAUUGCGAAGGCAUCUCACGAAUCCGCGAUUGACGCUGAGGCACGAAAGCGUGGGGAUCAAACAGGAUUAGAUACCCC
rnacentral:rRNA from 1 species